rnacentral:tRNA from 1 species
UGGCUCAGAGGUUAAGAGCACUGAAUGCUCUUUCAGAGGUCCUGAGUUCAAUUCUCAG